CGAUUAAUUAUGUAAAUACAAAAAAAAACCAUGCAGUCUGUUAAUCACGCAAACUUAAAAUAGAAUCGGGUGAUAUUAUAAUCAGUGCCAUGAUAUUGUUGACUCAAUUGUUGGACGUCAAGAACGUCAGUAGUGUUGGUUAUUAUUAAUUAUUGUAGAAAGCUUAACAAAAGCUAUGUAUGAUUUUUAAUUUAAGAUUAAAUCAGAGAGUUUAUUUAA